UACGUAGGGUGCGAGCGUUGUCCGGAAUUAUUGGGCGUAAAGAGCUUGUAGGCGGUUUUGUCGCGUCUGCUGUGAAAAUCCGGGGCUCAACCCCGGACUUGCAGUGGGUACGGGCAGACUGAGAGUGUGGUAGGGGAGACUGGGAAGUUCCUGGUGUAGCGGUGAAAUGCGCGAGAUAUCGAGGAGGACACCGGGUGGCGAAGGCUGGCGACCUGGUCCGUUGACUGAC
rnacentral:rRNA from 1 species